UUUUACCUAUAUGAUGAGUUGCAAAAUUUAUUGCCUACAUUGUUUGACUAACCUGUGAAAAUUUGCAACAUCUGAGGAUAAA
rnacentral:snoRNA from 1 species